rnacentral:rRNA from 1 species
GAUGAACGCUGGCGGCGUGCCUAAUACAUGCAAGUCGAGCGAACAGACGAGGAGCUUGCUCCUCUGACGUUAGCGGCGGACGGGUGAGUAACACGUGGAUAACCUACCUAUAAGACUGGGAUAACUUCGGGAAACCGGAGCUAAUACCGGAUAAUAUAUUGAACCGCAUGGUUCAAUAGUGAAAGACGGUUUUGCUGUCACUUAUAGAUGGAUCCGCGCCGCAUUAGCUAGUUGGUAAGGUAACGGCUUACCAGGGCAACGAUGCGUAGCCGACCUGAGAGGGGGAUCGGCCACACUGGAACUGAGACACGGUCCAGACUCCUACGGGAGGCAGCAGUAGGGAAUCUUCCGCAAUGGGCGAAAGCCUGACGGAGCAACGCCGCGUGAGUGAUGAAGGUCUUCGGAUCGUAAAACUCUGUUAUUAGGGAAGAACAAAUGUGUAAGUAACUAUGCACGUCUUGACGGUACCUAAUCAGAAAGCCACGGCUAACUACGUG